UAGAAAGAAACAUGGAUCUCUGGUCAGCAAAGCAGAGUUGGGGGCAGCAGCAGUAUUCUUCAGUGUGUGCUACAAAAAUGGAAGGUUGUUGGACAAGACAUGAAAAGAACAGGCUUCAAACUUAGACGCUAAUAAGAGGAAAAAUGUGGAUUUGGAGGAACGAAGCUAUUUGACUCAAAGGGUGCUUCCUAGGAAAGGAGCAUAAAAGUGAAUCAAACACCACUAUUGGAAAGGUGGAAUUUGAUCCAUAUAUGAGAUUUUGUGCACCUGCAAUCCCAGAACUCCAAAACCUGAGGUAGAGGGAGACAAUGCAUCAGUGGAAACUGUUUCUUAGACACUCAAGUGGUGCUGGCAUGGAACAUCCGCAUGAAAGACAUGGAUCAUGAAAAAUAAGGUUUUCCUUAUAGUAAAGAGGAUAAUUGAAGCAAUGUGAACUGAAACACUGGGCCACUCAGAGAUGAACAAGCCACAAG